GAUGAACGCUGGCGGCGUGCCUAAUACAUGCAAGUCGAGCGAACAGACGAGGAGCUUGCUCCUCUGACGUUAGCGGCGGACGGGUGAGUAACACGUGGAUAACCUACCUAUAAGACUGGGAUAACUUCGGGAAACCGGAGCUAAUACCGGAUAAUAUAUUGAACCGCGUGGUUCGUUAGUGAAAGACGGCUUUGCGGUCACUUAUAGAUGGAUCUGCGCCUCUUUAGCUAGUUGGGAAGUUAACGGCCUAUCAAGGCAACGAUGCGUAGACGACCUGAGAGAGUGAUCGCCGACACUGGAACUGGGCCAGCGUCCAGACUACUACGGGAGGCAGCAGUAGGGAAUCUUCCGCAAUGGGCGAAAGCCUGACGGAGCAAGGCCGCGUGAGUGAUGAAGGUCUUCCGAUCGUAAAGCUCUGUUACUAGGUAAGAACAACUGUGUAAGUAACUGUGCACGUCUUGACGGUACCUAAUAAGAAAGCCACGGCUAACUACGUG
rnacentral:rRNA from 1 species